rnacentral:lncRNA from 1 species
GGCUGCUCCUGGGAAAUGAAAACCCACGAAUCAAUGCCAGAAAAAUGACCAUCUCCACUCACCCUCGCCAGGAAACCAGCUUUCAACUCUCCCACCUUGGGCACAAGAGGCGCAGUGGGGCUUAAAUUCCUUAAGUUCUGUCUUCUCUUGUGGUGUGCUUCCUAUAGCUCAGGGCCAACUCAUUAAUUUAUCUGUCAGGAGCACUGAGGCAGCCAGGAAACAUUGAUGAGGCCAUUAGGGCAUGAGGGUGGACGGUAAAGUGUGGUGGGGGAGCCCGGACUGUGUGCCCCUGGCGGUGGAUUUGGGGUGCAUGCCCAGCUCCCGAGCACGAAUGUGGCGCUGCUUCAGGCAGAUCAUCACACGCCGCGUGGAAGGCCUGGGGUAGGAUUAAUGGCCGGGCAUUGUGCAGCUUUUCAUCUCCCGCUUGUGAAUAUAUAUGAGCACUGUGUUCUCACUGCAGCUGGAGUUAAAGAGCUGCCACCACCUCACUGAAGACUGGGAGAGAAACAUUCAGCUCAGAAGCAA